UAAUCGGAAGUGUAAUAAUUACAUGGACGUAUAAAAAAGGCGGACGGAGUCCCACCAUACACAAAACUGUGUCCUUCAGAAUCGGCCAGCUGACACGCACGCAUACAUUAUUACGCUAGUCCAUAACAUUUGA